rnacentral:rRNA from 1 species
AGUAGAGAACGAAAAGGAGCUAUCGAAUAAAUAGCUCUGCUGACGGUACUCUAAGAAUAAGCACCGGCUAACUACGUGCCAGCAGCCGCGGUAAUACGUAGGGUGCGAGCGUUAAUCGGAAUUACUGGGCGUAAAGGGUGUGCAGGCGGCUGAGUAAGACAGAUGUGAAAUCCCCGGGCUUAACCUGGGAACCGCAUAUGUGACUGCUUGGCUAGAGUGCGUCAGAGGGAGGUGGAAUUCCACGUGUAGCAGUGAAAUGCGUAGAUAUGUGGAAGAACACCGAUGGCGAAGGCAGCCUCCUGGGACGCAACUGACGCUCAUACACGAAAGCGUGGGGAGCAAACAGGAUUAGAUACCCUGGUAGUCCACGCCCUAAACGAUGUCAACUAGUUGUUGGGGAUUAA